rnacentral:rRNA from 1 species
UUGAUGGAGAGUUUGAUCCUGGCUCAGGACGAACGCUGGCGGCGUGCUUAACACAUGCAAGUCGGACGAUGACGCCGGGCCUUCGGGUUUGGUUGAUUAGUGGCGAACGGGUGAG